GACGAACGCUGGCGGCGUGCUUAACACAUGCAAGUCGAACGAAGUGGCGAACGGGUGAGUAACGCGUAAUCCACCUGCCCUUCAGAGGGGGACGACAGUUGGAAACGACUGCUAAUACCGCAUACUGAAGGAGGGGAUUGCGUCUGAUUAGCUAGUUGGAGGGGUAACGGGCCACCAAGGCGAGGAUCAGUAGCCGGGCUGGGGGGAAGAACGGCCAAAAUUGGACUGAGACACGGCCCAGACUCCUAAGGGAGGCAGGCGUUGGGAAUUUUCCGAAAUGGACGAAAGUCUGGCGGAGCAACGCCGCGUGAGUGAUGACGGGCUUCGGGUUGUAAAGCUCUGUUAAUCGGGACGCGGUACCGGAAUAGAAAGCCACGGCUAACUACGUGCCAGCAGCCGCGGUAAUUC
rnacentral:rRNA from 1 species